GGGAGGGACCAGCAACUUAGACCAGAGCAGGGAAGAUUUCUGUGCUUCAGAAACACACACAUCUUUCCUAGCUAAAAGCUGCAAUGCCCUCUUUACCAGCGCUCCCCUCUGCAGAUGAGAUGAUUCACUCCCACCACCCUGCCAGCUCUGCUCACCUUUAUGCACUUGGCAUACUCCGCCAGCACCUGCUCCACCUGGUUUGCUUUCUUAGGCUCCUGAAAGAUCUGUCACAGACAGUGCAUCAGUUGCAGCAUCAGGAAGCAAGCAACAACAAAACAAAUCAUUUUACUCACGUGCCAUUAAAAAGCACACGGAACUAACACCAGGGAAGGGCAAGUUUACUGUAAGAAAAACCACACUUAACUGACAGCUUUCCCCUCUCCCCCUGGAAAAGCAGGGCAUACUUGGUACAGCACUUCUCAGCUGAAGGAGAAGGGAAGCAGCAGCUUCUCCUGCCCUCCAGCAUUCCCUUCCAGCUUAGGCUGCUUUGUCUGAUGCUACAAGAAGUCAGAAGUCAUCUGAGAGAUAAAAGGCUGGAAAGCACAAGCCCUUCUUCCAGAAAGAGGCGCAGCAUGAAGGAGAGACUCUCCAGCUGCAAGGUCUUGGAGGACAGUGAUUGGACCAAUUAAUUUGAAUCACCAGUUAAUUCUGUGUAGUAGUUCUUUAGCCCAGGAAAUAUAUUAGUUUCCUAUGCACAGAGUAAUAUUUCUUUACGUUAUUCCAGCAUACCUAAUGGGGUUAUAAACAACAAGUUACUGAAAGCCCUUGCAAUUAAUUGAGCUGGCUCUCAAUAGGUGCUGCACCUUGGCUUAAAUCACAAGUUAUUUUUCUGGUAAACAAGAAAUGCAACAUCUGUCUUUUCUGUGACAGUAAAGAACCUGUAGGACGCGUUCCCUUUUGGUUAGCAAGGAGUGCUGUGAGCAUUUUACCAGCCAGAGGCAGUCUCUUUCAGUAGAAAAGUAACUGGCAAUUACAAAUGUAAGCCAAAUCUAUUUAAUUCAUUAAACAGUAGCUAUUUAAUCCUCUGAUUUAAAUUAAUUUUUCCUCUGUAAUUUAAAUAGAAUCUCAGUGUGAUCUCACCACAGCCACCUCAGGAAAGACUUUAACCUUCCUCUUCUAUGAUAUGAUCUUGUGUGUAGGCAGCUGAAAGUCACACACCGCACUGCUACCAAAUUGCUUUGCUAACGCAUAUCCAAUUUGCUGGAGACUGCAAAGGCCAAACAAGAACAAAUCAGCUGAAAGGCAGAGCAAGCAGCAUGACUGUGGUGUGAGCCCUUGGAGGUGCCAGGCAGACCGUGAGGACUCCCACAGAACACACCUGAAAGACGCUUUGAAUGACAGCUGUGCAAACCCUUGGAGAAGCUGAAGCGUGGUGUUUCCACUACAAAAACCUACAGGCAGAUCCACCUGCCAGGAUGCCUGCACCAAGGCUGUGAAAUACUGGGACUGUGCUCUGCUAAUCCAUGAGGUCUUGGCACUGUUUCCCUAAGCAGCGUCCACACCUUACCUGAGCAGCAGGAAUGGCAUAUCGACUCCCAUAAUAGGGGCAGGCUUUGGUGUCCCUUCCCAAAGUCACCAACUGCUCGAUAUCCUUCACUUCCACUAGAACUUCAUCGCGAAGAAACUGCAUUUGCUCGUAGGAAUAAAAUGGGCACACAGUGCGA